rnacentral:rRNA from 1 species
UUGGAGGGCAAGUCUGGUGCCAGCAGCCGCGGUAAUUCCAGCUCCAAUAGCGUAUAUUAAAGUUGUUGCAGUUAAAAAGCUCGUAGUUGAAUUUCGGGAUCAAUUUAUCGGUCGUGCCUACGGUAUGAACUGGUACAAUUGGUUUCUCCCUUCUGACGAAGCAUGAUGUCAUUAAUUUGGUGUCGUGGGGAAUCAGGACUGUUACUUUGAAAAAAUUAGAGUGUUUAAAGCAAGCAUUAGCUUGAAUACAUUAGCAUGGAAUAAUGAAAUAGGACGUUUGAUCCUAUUUCGUUGGUUUCUAGGAUCGACGUAAUGAUUAAUAGGGAUAGUUGGGGGCAUUAGUAUUCAAUUGUCAGAGGUGAAAUUCUUGGAUUUAUUGAAGACUAACUACUGCGAAAGCAUUUGCCAAGGAUGUUUUCAUUAAUCAAGAACGAAAGUUAGGGGAUCGAAGACGAUCAGAUACCGUCGUAGUCUUAACCAUAAACUAUGCCGACUAGGGAUCGGAUGAUGUUAAUUUUUUAAUGACUCCUUCGGCGCCUUACGGGAAAC